CACGCUGCGGUCGCUCGGAGCGAAGGGGUGCCGGCUAGCUGCUCCUUGUGAGGCCGCAGAGGGGCGCUACAAGACUGGCCGCUCCCAGGCUCUCGUCGAGACUGCCCGGGUAGCGGUGACAGCCGCGGCGUGGGUGACGCAGGCUAUGGGAUCUUGACUUCUUUAAAUAUAUAGCAGCUGGAAAGAGAGAGGAAAAAGAAGAGUGAAAGGAGAACAAAGGGAGAAAAACCCAAAUAUACCACCUUGGGCACCCCACUCCAGUGCUUAACAACUCUUUCAGUGAAGAUAUUCUUUCUGAUCUUCAACCUGUGCUCCACCUGAUGCAGCUUGAGGCCAUUUUCUCUCAUCUUGUCAUGCAUUUCCUGGGAGAAGACACUGACCCUCACCUGUCUACAGCCUCCUUUCAGGCAGUGGUAGAGAGUGAUGAGGUCAUUCUUUAGCCUCCUUUUCUCAAGGAUGCACAAUGCCAGCUCCCUCAGAAGCUCAUCACAGGACUUGUUCUCUAGACCCUUCACGUGCUUUGUUGCUCUUCUAAAUCAAUAAUUAUUUAUUUUGUUACUGGUAAUUUCAGAUUGCAGUUAAGUCUAGAUCAUAAACAUAAUGAUGUUUGAGGUGAUUUUAAAAGGUCUGCAUGUUUUCCAGUGCUCCCUUACUGCCUAAGGAGAAAAGGUCUUUAUGCCUCAUCAGUAGUAAAGAGCUAUUUCGUACAACCAUGUCUGCUUAGUACCACAUAAAACUUUCUGAGAUCUAUCAAAAUUAAAGAUUGUUGAUAUGUAUUCAUGAUACAAAAAAAAAAAUAAAUCACUAGUUUCCCACAACUAGUUCAGACAACUUACUAAUUUCAGCUAGAAAUGUUCUAGGCUUUCUC